AUUCUAGUAGAGUGGUGCUAGUUCCCAAAAAUGAAGUUCUCUAUCUGCUUUCUCUUCAAAUCAAAUCAAGUGAAGUUUCUAAGGGCACAUGGGUCCACGUGAAGUAUGGGAAAUACAAAGGGAACCUUGCACAGGUUGUGGCUGUUGAUGAUGCACGGAAGAGGCCACCGUAAAGCUGAUUCCAAGGAUCGAUCUCCAAGCCAUGGCACAAAAAUAUUUAUGUAAUUUCUUUCUUCCAGAAAAUUUAUGUGGCAGUGAUUUUGGAAUUAUGAAGCAACUACUGUUGGUUGCAUGCUAUUGUUUUCUAACCAACAUUCCAUUUUGACUUUUGUUUAGCUCUAAUCAUUUUAUUUUUUUUUGGUGUGAAUAAAUAUUCAUAUUUCCAGCUACCAUUAUCAGUGUAUAUGCUUCCUUUAGCCAUUUGAUUUGUUCACUAGUUUGCAUUUACUUCAUGUUGUGUUUCUGCUUAUGACAUUAUUGCUUGUUUUGUGGAAUGAUUUAUAUAUUUCUAAAAUAGAGAACUUGGUGUUUUCGCCAUUCAUUUGCACAAGCUUUAUCACUAUUUAUGGUAGGCUUGAUUCUCUGUUACAAUUCUGUAUUUUUGUAUGUGAAAUUUUAUUUAUUUGUCUUUGGUAUUAAGGGAAUUUGGAGUGGAAUGAUUACUGGGAUUGCUCUAUAGACCCUCAUCCUUGUAGUAAUCACGUGGCGUACUGACCGGGAGAAAGAGGCAAGUGUAUAUUGCAACACAUUUCUAUAUGCUUUGUUAGUCAUCUUUCUUCUUAAUGAUUUAAUUUUCCUUAAGCUUUACUUUAUCAGCAUAGCUAGACGUUAAUGAAAUUGACUUGAGGAAAUGCAUUCCCGUGCGGUAGGGAGAUUCAGUUUUUGAACCUUGUUUCUUUAUCUAUGCAGAGAAAUAAGGCGUGGGUUUUCAUUUACCCCAAAAAUAUAUGAGGAUUUUAAUCAAUUAUGCCUAAAUUUAGGCCUACAAGCACUUCAGCCUUUUGACACCACUUGUGCUACGAAUAGACCAUGUAGAGGAUUUGUUUUUAUUUAUUUAUUUAUUU